CCUCUGUUAGCUAAACGUGUGUUGGUAGCAUGUACAGUGCAGGAGGACAGUUUAUGGUUGGAAGGUAAACUUUCUAAGCUUUUUCUAAGCUCCAGGCUACAACAUUGUCCGAACUGAAGCCCAAACGAAAGCCUGAAAUUCCAAAGUUGUUGGAACAGCUUGAUCAGCCACGCCAGGUUUACAGAGGGGGCAGCCCUCCGUGUCAGGGAUCCUGAGGUGGCAGAGGCCGACCCCGCUGCAGGGGUGAACUCUUCAGUACCUGGACCAAGCCAAGAGUGGCAAGAACACGGAAGGAUUUCCCCAGCGUCCCAGGUGCCGGAGUGUGUGUUCAGUGAAGGGUGAGGACCAUCUGCCGGGGCUGGGUGAAAUCAGUGCAACAUGCAGGUGCUGAGGUAUUUACCCCAGCACGCAAGAUCACUAGCAGUCCUCCAGCCCCGGCCCCUGUCCUGAUGAUGUAAUUAUUUCCCAGUGGCACCUGGGAGCCACGGUCGCCAUUCAGAGGCAUCGCUCACAGCCAAGUCACCGAGGUCACUCCGAAUGCCUGGCCCUCGACAGCUUGGGCACCUCUCCACAGCCAACAAAAUGGUUGCCAUUAGCCUGUGGAGGACGAGCGCUAACAUCCCCAUUAGAUGCACUUUAAACUCCUGCAGUGUGUCACAGCCAUCAGAUGAUGACACUCCAGCUCUUCCAGGUAAUCCUCGAGGCCCUUCACCGACGGGAUGUAUCAAUUAACAGAUUUGUUUGCUUUCCUCUCCUCCGACCUCAUUUGCAUAGCAGCCGGCUAACACACCGCUCAAGUUCAAGAGCACUGUUGGCAUUGUGUUCUUAAUUGUUUCCUUUAUCCUCUACAACAGGCAGCAGAGGGGCCAAAAAUGAAGAAAUUACCAUACAUAUUAAAACUCAUCUGCUCUGUUGAUGUAAAAGUAUCCAACAGAAGUGGUUCUCAGCACAGAAAGUUACAAGAUGUUAGCAACCACUCCAGGGCGAAGCAUUGUUGACACUCAUUCCUGUUCAGUCUUCGUCAAAGGGGAACUUAGCAUUUCCAAUGCUAAAGGACAGCUGUUGCUGGCAGGCCUCUUUCUCACUGGCGGAGGCACCACUGUUUGGGGCAGUAAUCUGUCAGGGCGGUGGGGUAGCCAAUGGUGGACGCAGAGAAAUGUGGCUCGGGGCUCUAUGCAUAGCAAUGAGGCCAGACAGAUGUAAAACUCCUCUGUGGUUUUACAGCCUCAGUGCUCUCUCUCUGGGUGUUUGCCUGGAUCCUCCCCAUCAACCUUUUGAACACAUCCAUUCCCAUGAUGCAAAACUGUUGCAAGGGCACAUUUAUGCUGUUUGAGUGGAGGCCUUCGCCGUGAUCCAGAGAAGUAGUAUAUUCCCUGGCAUGACUGGUUUACAUUUGUGCAAAGAGCACAUCAGAAU